rnacentral:rRNA from 1 species
AUUGAACGCUGGCGGCAGGCCUAACACAUGCAAGUCGAACGAGUGGCGGACGGGUGAGUAAUGUCUGGGAAACUGCCUGAUGGAGGGGGAUAACUACUGGAAACGGUAGCUAAUACCGCAUACCAUCGGAUGUGCCCAGAUGGGAUUAGCUAGUAGGUGGGGUAAAGGCUCACCUAGGCGACGAUCCCUAGCUGGUCUGAGAGGAUGACCACCAAAACUGGAACGGAUACACGGUCCAGAAUCCUACGGGAGGCAGCAGUGGGGAAUAUUGCACAAUGGGCGCAAGCCUGAUGCAGCGAUGCCGAGUGUGUGAAGAAGGCCGUCGGGUUGUAAAGUACUUUCAGCGGGGAGGCGUUACCCGCAGAAGAAGCACCGGCUAACUCCGUGCCAGCAGCCGCGGUAAUUC